UUAUCCACCUCUCAAUUUACCCUCUGUUCCUGAUAACAAGGAGGACAAGGGGCACAAAUGGGACUCGGAUUUUACAUGUGGCCACUAUUGAAUCAAGGGCUGCCUAAUCUUCAGAGGGAGGUGCUAAUACGUUAUCUGGAUUUGCUGAUGAGGGACAUGAGAGGUUAAGACUCCUGCCCGACACCACACAGCUCCCGCAGGCCAAACAGCAUGGGAACAACUGGGGAAGAAAGGAAAAGAUUAUGGUCCAUCCCUCUCCUAUGUGCUCUGCCCUUCUGCCAAGACGCUUCAGUAACUUCCAGGUGCCUGACGUUCCCCUUGGAGACACUCGCUGUAACUCACUGCCAGCUUUCACGCUCAGACUGGGAACAUCUGUCCCAGUGUCUGAGCAUCAGUCAGGUAAAACACCUGUAUCUGAAGGGAGUCAGACUGACUGUUUAGUGCUGAGCCCCUCUGAGUUCUGCUGGAUAAAGUUUCAGGCACCCUGAACACCCUGCACCUCACGGCCUGUGGAAUCAGACUCCCAGCUCAGUGCCAUCCUGCCUUCCUGUGCUGCUGCUCCCAGCUCACCAGCUUCAGCUACAUAAAGAACUGCACUGCUGUGGCCACCUUGGAUAAGCUGCUGUACCACACUGCUAAGCUGAGUAACUUAAACCAGGAGCAGUACUCUAUUCCGCAGGACAUUUUUCUUCUCCGGGAUUCUGUCCACCCACUGAGACUGGACCAGGUUCAUGAUGCACUGAUGAGGAUUGUGCAAUCAUCUCGACUCCUCCUUACUCAGUUGACCUUGUUUCCAGAUUAGAC
rnacentral:lncRNA from 1 species